rnacentral:rRNA from 1 species
UGGCGGACGGGUGAGUAACGCGUGGAAAACCUGCCGUAUACUGGGGGAUAACACUUAGAAAUAGGUGCUAAUACCGCAUAAGCGCACAGCUUCGCAUGAAGCGGUGUGAAAAACUCUGGUGGUANACGAUGGUUCCGCGUCUGAUUAGCUAGUUGGUGGGGUAAUGGCCUACCAAGGCAACGAUCAGUAGCCGGCCUGAGAGGGUGAACGGCCACAUUGGGACUGAGACACGGCCCAAACUCCUACGGAAGGCAGCAG